UGGGGAAUAUUGCACAAUGGGCGCAAGCCUGAUGCAGCGACGCCGCGUGAGGGAUGGAGGCCUUCGGGUUGUAAACCUCUUUUAUCGGGGAGCAAGCGAGAGUGAGUUUACCCGUUGAAUAAGCACCGGCUAACUACGUGCCAGCAGCCGCGGUAAUACGUAGGGUGCAAGCGUUAUCCGGAAUUAUUGGGCGUAAAGGGCUCGUAGGCGGUUCGUCGCGUCCGGUGUGAAAGUCCAUCGCUUAACGGUGGAUCCGCGCCGGGUACGGGCGGGCUUGAGUGCGGUAGGGGAGACUGGAAUUCCCGGUGUAACGGUGGAAUGUGUAGAUAUCGGGAAGAACACCAAUGGCGAGGGCAGGUCUCUGGGCCGUUACUGACGCUGAGGAGCGAAAGCGUGGGGAGCGAACAGGAUUAGAUACCCUGGUAGUCCACGCCGUAAACGGUGGAUGCUGGAUGUGGGGCCCGUUCCACGGGUUCCGUGUCGGAGCUAACGCGUUAAGCAUCCCGCCUGGGGAGUACGGCCGCAAGGCUAAAACUCAAAGAAAUUGACGGGGGCCCGCACAAGCGGCGGAGCAUGCGGAUUAAUUCGAUGCAACGCGAAGAACCUUACCUGGGCUUGACAUGUUCCCGACGGUCGUAGAGAUACGGCUUCCCUUCGGGGCGGGUUCACAGGUGGUGCAUGGUCGUCGUCAGCUCGUGUCGUGAGAUGUUGGGUUAAGUCCCGCAACGAGCGCAACCCUCGCCCCGUGUUGCCAGCGGAUUAUGCCGGGAACUCACGGGGGACCGCCGGGGUUAACUCGGAGGAAGGUGGGGAUGACGUCAGAUCAUCAUGCCCCUUACGUCCAGGGCUUCACGCAUGCUACAAUGGCCGGUACAACGGGAUGCGACGCGGCGACGCGGAGCGGAUCCCUGAAAACCGGUCUCAGUUCGGAUCGCAGUCUGCAACUCGACUGCGUGAAGGCGGAGUCGCUAGUAAUCGCGAAUCAGCAACGUCGCGGUGAAUGCGUUCCC
rnacentral:rRNA from 1 species